CUUAUACUCCCUCCAUUCUGAAUUACUUGUCGCAAGUAUGGAUGUAUCUAGAUGUAUUUUAGUUCUAGAUACAUCCAUCUCUACGACGAGUAAUUUGGGACGGAGGGAGUAUCUU
rnacentral:pre_miRNA from 1 species